GACGAACGCCGGCGGCGUGCUUAACACAUGCAAGUCGAACGGAAAGGCCCUGCUUUUGUGGGGUGCUCGAGUGGCGAACGGGUGAGUAACACGUGAGUAACCUGCUCUUGACUUUGGGAUAACUUCAGGAAACUGGGGCUAAUACCGGAUAGGAGCUCCUGCUGCAUGGUGGGGGUUGGAAAGUUUCGGCGGUUGGGGAUGGACUCGCGGCUUAUCAGCUUGUUGGUGGGGUAGUGGCUUACCAAGGCUUUGACGGGUAGCCGGCCUGAGAGGGUGACCGGCCACAUUGGGACUGAGAUACGGCCCAGACUCCUACGGGAGGCAGCAGUGGGGAAUAUUGCACAAUGGGCGGAAGCCUGAUGCAGCAACGCCGCGUGCGGGAUGACGGCCUUCGGGUUGUAAACCGCUUUCGCCUGUGACGAAGCGUGAGUGACGGUAAUGGGUAAAGAAGCACCGGCUAACUACGUG
rnacentral:rRNA from 1 species